rnacentral:rRNA from 1 species
CACGAGUUUGAUCCUGGCUCGAGGAUGAACGCUAGCGGCAGGCUUAACACAUGCAAGUCGAGGGGUAUAGUUCUUCGGAACUAGGAGACCGGCGCACGGGUGCGUAACGCGUAUGCAAUCUACCUUUCACAAAGGGAUAGCCCAGAGAAAUUUGGAUUAAUACCUUAUAGUAAUACGACUUGGCAUCAAGAUGUAUUUAAAGAUUUAUCGGUGAAAGAUGAGCAUGCGUCCCAUUAGCUUGUUGGUAAGGUAACGGCUUACCAAGGCAACGAUGGGUAGGGGUCCUGAGAGGGAGAUCCCCCACACUGGUACUGAGACACGGACCAGACUCCUACGGGAGGCAGCAGUGAGGAAUAUUGGUCAAUGGGCGCAAGCCUGAACCAGCCAUGCCGCGUGCAGGAAGACGGUCCUAUGGAUUGUAAACUGCUUUUAUACAGGAAGAAACACACCCUCGUGAGGGUACUUGACGGUACUGUAUGAAUAAGGACCGGCUAACUCCGUG